rnacentral:tRNA from 1 species
GUCUUUGUAGUAUAACUAUUACCUUGGUCUUGUAAACCAAAAAUGGAGAGUAGCUUUUCUCCCUAAGACU